rnacentral:tRNA from 1 species
CCAGAUAGCUCAGUCGGUAGAGCAGAGGACUGAAAAUCCUCGUGUCGGUGGUUCGAUUCCACCUCUGGCC